GAAGUUUUCGGAUGGAAUCUUGAUUGACUGAGUGGCGGACGGGUGAGUAACGCGUGGAUAACCUGCCUCACACUGGGGGAUAACAGUUAGAAAUGACUGCUAAUACCGCAUAAGCGCACAGUGCCGCAUGGCAGUGUGUGAAAAACUCCGGUGGUGUGAGAUGGAUCCGCGUCUGAUUAGCCAGUUGGCGGGGUAACGGCCCACCAAAGCGACGAUCAGUAGCCGACCUGAGAGGGUGACCGGCCACAUUGGGACUGAGACACGGCCCAAACUCCUACGGGAGGCAGCAGUGGGGAAUAUUGCACAAUGGGCGAAAGCCUGAUGCAGCGACGCCGCGUGAGUGAAGAAGUAUUUCGGUAUGUAAAGCUCUAUCAGCAGGGAAGAAAAUGACGGUACCUGACUAAGAAGCCCCGGCUAACUACGUGCCAGCAGCCGCGGUAAUACGUAGGGGGCAAGCGUUAUCCGGAUUUACUGGGUGUAAAGGGAGCGUAGACGGCGAAGCAAGUCUGAAGUGAAAACCCAGGGCUCAACCCUGGGACUGCUUUGGAAACUGUUUUGCUAGAGUGUCGGAGAGGUAAGUGGAAUUCCUAGUGUAGCGGUGAAAUGCGUAGAUAUUAGGA
rnacentral:rRNA from 1 species